AUUGAGCGCUGGCGGCAGGCCUAACACAUGCAAGUCGAACGAGUGGCGGACGGGUGAGUAAUGUCUGGGAAACUGCCUGAUGGAGGGGGAUAACUACUGGAAACGGUAGCUAAUACCGCAUACCAUCAGAUGUGCCCAGAUGGGAUUAGAUAGUUGGGGGGGUAAAGGCGCACAAAGGCGACGAUCCCUAGCUGGUCUGAGAGGAUGACCAGCCACACUGGAACUGCUACACGGUCCAGACUCCUACGGGAGGCAGCAGUGGGGACUCUUGCACAAUGGGCGCAAGCCUGAUGCAGCCAUGCCGCUUGUAGGAAGAAGGCCUUCGGGUUGUAAAGUACUUUCAGCGGGGAGGCGUUACCCGCAGAAGAAGCACCGGCUAACUCCGUGCCAGCCGCCGCGGUAAUUC
rnacentral:rRNA from 1 species